AGUGAACGCUGGCGGUAGGCCUAACACAUGCAAGUCGAACGGCAGCACAGUAAGAGCUUGCUCUUACGGGUGGCGAGUGGCGGACGGGUGAGGAAUACAUCGGAAUCUACUUUUUCGUGGGGGAUAACGUAGGGAAACUUACGCUAAUACAGCAUACGACCUACGGGUGAAAGCAGGGGAUCUUCGGACCUUGCGCGAUUGAAUGAGCCGAUGUCGGAUUAGCUAGUUGGCGGGGUAAAGGCCCACCAAGGCGACGAUCCGUAGCUGGUCUGAGAGGAUGAUCAGCCACACUGGAACUGAGACACGGUCCAGACUCCUACGGGAGGCAGCAGUGGGGAAUAUUGGGCAAUGGGCGCAAGCCUGAUCCAGCCAUACCGCGUGGGUGAAGAAGGCCUUCGGGUUGUAAAGCCCUUUUGUUGGGAAAGAAAAGCAGCAGGUUAAUACCCCGCUGUUCUGACGGUACCCAAAGAAUAAGCACCGGCUAACUACGUG
rnacentral:rRNA from 1 species